AAGCCAUUCUCCAUCUGUAGGUGACAUGUUAUAGACUUUACCUUAGUUUUGCUGUCAGGAAGAAACCUUUUGGAGAGGAGUUUCUUCUUUUUCCUGCGAGGAAGUCCCACAGAAAACAAGUGAACCCUUUAUUCAAAUCUACAUGACACUAAGCACACCUGAGGGCCCAGAGGUCCAUGCAGGGUUUCAUAUGGACUACCAAAGGCAUUGUACAUGAAAAAAGCAGAACAUAGAGAAGAG